rnacentral:lncRNA from 1 species
UCUUUUUCUUGAUUUUAAUAUUUUCUGGAUGUCUACAAAUUAAAAUUUUUGAUAUUUUUCGCGCAGUUACAAAAAAAUGUGAAAUUUUGAUAUUUUUUUCUUAUUGAUAUUCUAAGGUGGCUGGUGCGAUUCGAGAAAUUUAUGAGGUGUUUUUAUAUCUCUUUCAUGAUGUUUAUAUUUUUUGGAUGUUUAGGAUUUCAAAUUUUUGAUAAUUUUUGGGCAGUCACGAAAAAAUCUGAAAUUUUGAUAUUUUAUUCGUACUCGAAUGCACCACUCACUUUAGAAUAUCGAUACGAAUAAAAACUAAAAAUUUCACAUAUUUUUGCGACUACCCGAAUAAUAUCAAAACAUUUAAUUCAUAAACGUUCGAAAAAUAUAAAUAUCAAGAAAAAGACAUCAAAACACUUCAAAAAUUAGCUGAAUCGCACAUGUCAUCUUAGAAUAUCGAUACGAAUAAAAUAUGAAAAUUUCACGUUUUUUCGUGGCUGACAAAAAAUAUCAAAAUUUUUAAUUUGUAAGCGUCCAAAAAAAUAAUAAUCAAGAAAUGCACCAGUCACCUUAGAAUAUCGAUAUGAAUAAAUAUAAAAAAUUCACAUUUUCUCGUGACUGAGGAAAAAUAUCAAAAAAUUUAAAUCAUAAAAGUUCGAAAAAUAGAAAAAUCAAGAAGAAGACAUAAAAAUACCUCAAUUAAUUCCCGUAUCGUACCAAUCACCUUAGAAUAUCGAUACGGAUUAAAUUACAUUUUUUCGUGAUUGCCCCCAAAAAUAUCAAUAAUUUUUAUUCGUAAAAGUCUGAAAAUUAUAAAAAUCAAGAAAAAGACAUAAAAACACUUCAAAAAUUUCCAGAAUAGCACCAGUCACCUUAGAAUAUCGAUACGAAUAAAAUAUCAAAUUUCACAUUAUUUCGUGAUUGUCAAAAAAUAUAAAAAAAAUUAAUUGUAAACGUCCAAAAAAAUAUACGAAUCAAGAAAAAGACAUAAAAACACCUCAAAAAAGUCCUAAAAUGCACCAGUCACCUUAGAAUAACGAUACGAAUAAAAAUAAAAAAUUCACAAUUUUUCGUGAUUAAGAAAAAAUAUCAAAAAAUUUAACUCGUAAACGUUCGAAAAAUAGAAAAAUCAAGAAAAAGACAUAAAAACACCUCAAAAAAAAUCUAAAAUGCACCAGUCACCUUAGAAUAUCGAUACGAAUAAAAAUAAAAAAUUCACUUUUUUUCAUGAUUAAGCAAAAAUAUCAAAAUAUUUAACUCGUAAACGUCCGAAAAAUAGAAAAAUCAAGAAAAAGAUAUAAAAACACCUCAUAAAAUCCUGAAUCGCACCUGUCGCCUUAGAAUAUCGAUAUGAAUAAAAUAUCAAAAAUUCACAUAUUCUCGUGAUUGCCAAAAAAUAUCAAAAAAUUUAAUUCGUAAACGUCCGAAAAAUAGAAAAAUCAAGAAAAAGACAUAAAAACAGCUCAAAAUAUUUCCGAAUCGCACCAGUCACCUUAGAAUAUCGAAAUGAAUAAAAUAUCAAAAUUUUACUAUUUUUCGUAAACUUUCUGAAAAAUAUCAACAAUUUCACAUUUUUUCUUCACUGCUCAACAAAUAUAAAAAUAUAAUAAUUCAUAAAUGUCCGAUAAAUAUAAAAAUCAAGAAAAAGACAUAAAAACACCUCCAAAAAAUUCUGAAUCGCACCAAUCACCUUAGAAUAUCGAUACGAAUAAAAUAUAAAAAAAUCACAUUUUCUCGUGAUAAUUCGUAAACGUCUAAUAAAUAUAAAAAUCAAGAAAAAGAUAUAAAAACACCUCAAAAAAUUUCCGAAUCGCACCAGUCACCUAAGAAUAUCUAUACGAAUAAAAUCAC